rnacentral:rRNA from 1 species
CUACGGAGGGUCCAAGCGUUAUCCGGAAUCAUUGGGUUUAAAGGGUGCGCAGGCGGUUUAUUAAGUCAGUGGUGAAAUCUCGAGGCUCAACCUCGAAACUGCCAUUGAUACUGAUAAACUUGAGUUCAGUUGGAGUAGGCGGAAUGUGUAGUGUAGCGGUGAAAUGCUUAGAUAUUACACAGAACACCGAUAGCGAAGGCAGCUUACUAAACUGAUACUGACGCUGAGGCACGAAAGCGUGGGGAGCGAACAGGAUUAGAUACCCUAGUAGUCC